rnacentral:rRNA from 1 species
GUCGAACGAUGAAGCCUAGCUUGCUGGGUGGAUUAGUGGCGAACGGGUGAGUAACACGUGAGUAACCUGCCCUUGACUCUGGGAUAAGCGCUGGAAACGGCGUCUAAUACCGGAUAUGACCUGCCCCGGCAUCGGGUGUGGGUGGAAAGUUUUUCGGUCAAGGAUGGACUCGCGGCCUAUCAGCUUGUUGGUGAGGUAAUGGCUCACCAAGGCGACGACGGGUAGCCGGCCUGAGAGGGUGACCGGCCACACUGGGACUGAGACACGGCCCAGACUCCUACGGGAGGCAGCAGUGGGGAAUAUUGCACAAUGGGCGAAAGCCUGAUGCAGCAACGCCGCGUGGGGGAUGACGGCCUUCGGGUUGUAAACCUCUUUUAGUAGGGAAGAAGGGCUUCGGCUUGACGGUACCUGCAGAAAAAGCACCGGCUAACUACGUGCCAGCAGCCGCGGUAAUACGUAGGGUGCAAGCGUUGUCCGGAAUUAUUGGGCGUAAAGAGCUCGUAGGCGGUUUGUCGCGUCUGCUGUGAAAACCCGAGGCUCAACCUCGGGCCUGCAGUGGGUACGGGCAGACUAGAGUGCGGUAGGGGAGAAUGGAAUUCCUGGUGUAGCGGUGGAAUGCGCAGAUAUCAGGAGGAACACCGAUGGCGAAGGCAGUUCUCUGGGCCGUUACUGACGCUGAGGAGCGAAAGCGUGGGGAGCGAACAGGAUUAGAUACCCUGGUAGUCCACGCCGUAAACGUUGGGAACUAGAUGUGGGGGCCUUUCCACGGUCUCCGUGUCGCAGCUAACGCAUUAAGUUCCCCGCCUGGGGAGUACGGCCGCAAGGCUAAAACUCAAAGGAAUUGACGGGGGCCCGCACAAGCGGCGGAGCAUGCGGAUUAAUUCGAUGCAACGCGAAGAACCUUACCAAGGCUUGACAUAUACCGGAAACUUCCAGAGAUGGUUGCCCCGCAAGGUCGGUAUACAGGUGGUGCAUGGUUGUCGUCAGCUCGUGUCGUGAGAUGUUGGGUUAAGUCCCGCAACGAGCGCAACCCUCGUUCUAUGUUGCCAGCACGUGAUGGUGGGAACUCAUAGGAGACUGCCGGGGUCAACUCGGAGGAAGGUGGGGAUGACGUCAAAUCAUCAUGCCCCUUAUGUCUUGGGCUUCACGCAUGCUACAAUGGCCGGUACAAAGGGCUGCGAUACCGUAAGGUGGAGCGAAUCCCAAAAAGCCGGUCUCAGUUCGGAUUGAGGUCUGCAACUCGACCUCAUGAAGUCGGAGUCGCUAGUAAUCGCAGAUCAGCAACGCUGCGGUGAAUACGUUCCCGGGCCUUGUACACACCGCCCGUCAAGUCAUGAAA